GACGAACGCUGGCGGCGUGCUUAACACAUGCAAGUCGAACGGAAAGGCCCUGCUUUUGUGGGGUGCUCGAGUGGCGAACGGGUGAGUAACACGUGAGUAACCUGCCCUUGACUUUGGGAUAACUUCAGGAAACUGGGGCUAAUACCGGAUAGGAGCUCCUGCUGCAUGGUGGGGGUUGGAAAGUUUCGGCGGUUGGGGAUGGACUCGCGGCUUAUCAGCUUGUUGGUGGGGUAGUGGCUUACCAAGGCUUUGACGGGUAGCCGGCCUGAGAGGGUGACCGGCCACAUUGGGGCUGAGAUACGGCCCAGACUCCUACGGGAGGCAGCAGUGGGGAAUAUUGCACAAUGGGCGGAAGCCUGAUGCAGCAACGCCGCGUGCGGGAUGACGGCCUUCGGGUUGUAAACCGCUUUCGCCUGUGACGAAGCGUGAGUGACGGUAAUGGGUAAAGAAGCACCGGCUAACUACGU
rnacentral:rRNA from 1 species